UACGGAGGGGGCUAGCGUUGUUCGGAAUUACUGGGCGUAAAGCGCACGUAGGCGGAUCGCUCAGUCAGGGGUGAAAUCCCAGGGCUCAACCCUGGAACUGCCUUUGAUACUGUCGAUCUGGAGUAUGGAAGAGGUGAGUGGAAUUCCGAGUGUAGAGGUGAAAUUCGUAGAUAUUCGGAGGAACACCAGUGGCGAAGGCGGCUCACUGGUCCAUUACUGACGCUGAGGUGCGAAAGCGUGGGGAGCAAACAGG
rnacentral:rRNA from 1 species